rnacentral:lncRNA from 1 species
AGGACAGUUAAUAUUCUCUCGUGGUCGUGUUUAGUCGCAAAAACAUCAAAAAGUCAUUCAAGGAGCGUGAGUGAAUGACUAAUGUGAUACUCAACAAGAGGAGCUUUACGCCAUCCGGUCCACUGCAUCCUUUGACUGGAAGACACAGAACUCGAAGACGGUCAUUACCGACGGAUGCUGGUCAAGAGCGGUUGAAUUCUGCAGUUUUCCGCCUGAAUAACGAAGUGGAAUGAAACAGGAGCCCACUGCAGAGACAACGACAAACUGCUAACACUGAGCAAACUGAUCCACUGACCAACAUACACACUGAAAAUAACUGUUAUAUCCUCGCUACGUCCGUUUCGUCGUCCGCUACACUUCUGGAUGCUGUACUGCUGCGGUGGAAGAGAGAAGAGGGAGAAGGGGGAGCAGGAGCACACGGGCGCGGAAGAGGCGUUGAUGAACUGCGGGGAAGCGGACACCGUCACCGCUGGAAACCGGGAUGAAACUCCAGCUGCAGGGAUGUUUGACACAACGGAUAUGCCCGAGCUCCUGCCGCCCUCGGGGCAACUUCAACCGAGUCCUCGUGACUCGGUGUGUCAGAUGCAGCAUUUGAUGGUUGAGAGAGAUUGCUUGAGCCCUGAAUCCCCUCAACGGAGGUUAGGCCAGAGGGCCCCCAAACUCGGACAAAUUGGACGGUCAAAGAGAGUGGUCAUAGAGGAUGAAGAUCUGGAUGACGUCAUGAACAACAACAAUGGACCUGUCCCUCUCAGCAAUGAGCCAUCCUGAGCCUCUCUAGAUUCUUAAUAUUCUGGACCAGCUAUUCGUGAAAUGCGCCUUUCUGCCACGGGACAGUCGGGACACUUUCAGCAGGAGAAAAGUCAGACACCUCUCCCAGUAUCAGAUUCACACGAGAUCCGCAUGCGUUUCAGCUGUAGUUUACUAGUCGCAUGGCAGCAGCUGUCAACCUACAACAGGCCACACAGGUGAUUUGUUGUAUAGUAGCUUCUUAGACCAGAGCUCUGUGUGUGACACUCGUGCCUCCCAGAGGGAGAAAUGUGCAUAUGUAGGCUGAUUAACAUAUUUCUGACCAAAGGCAAAGACCAGCCACUGUAGAUCACUCUGUCCAGGCUUGUGCUGUUAUAAAGAUGUCUUUCAAUUUAUCUGUUGAAACAUUUGGCAAGAAGAAUAGCACAAUGUUCUUGUGUUUUACUUUGUCUCUCAAAACUCUGGAAAUGUAUGCUGCUUCCUAGAGCCAUGGUUGUUACCUGUUGUCCACGACAAUAUAGUCAAUAUUCAAAUGUCAAC